CCGAGUGAGGGCCCUCUGGGUCCAACCUCCCACCCGUGUUUAUCGUACCUUGUUGCUUCGGCGGGCCCGCCUCACGGCCGCCGGGGGGCACCCGCCCCCGGGCCCGCGCCCGCCGAAGACACCAUUGAACGCUGUCUGAAGAUUGCAGUCUGAGCAUCUUAGCUAAAUCAGUUA
rnacentral:misc_RNA from 2 species